UACGUAGGGCGCAAGCGUUGUCCGGAAUUAUUGGGCGUAAAGAGCUCGUAGGCGGUUUGUCGCGUCUGCUGUGAAAACCUAAGGCUCAACCUUGGGCUUGCAGUGGGUACGGGCAGACUAGAGUGCGGUAGGGGUGACUGGAAUUCCUGGUGUAGCGGUGGAAUGCGCAGAUAUCAGGAGGAACACCGGUGGCGAAGGCGGGUCUCUGGGCCGAUACUGACACUGAGGAGCGAAAGCGUGGGGAGCGAACAGG
rnacentral:rRNA from 1 species